rnacentral:rRNA from 1 species
CGCCCUUUUUUUUUUUGAGGAGGGGGAACUUCGGGGAGAUUGGAUUGGGACCCCGGGGAGGGUUCCCUGCCCUUCCGCGGGGGGGGAAAGCGGUGGGACAACGAGUAAACCCUGUAUCCCCCGUAAAAAGAUUUACCCGUGGGAGUAUUUAUUUGGGGGCCACCUAACCCUUACCCUCGCCGGGGGGACGGUCAAGAUAAACUUAAAGAAUGACGGGGCCCCCCAGCGUGAGCAAUGGUUUAAUUGAAGAAAGGGGAAACCUUCCCGGCCUUGACUUCCGAUCGCGGUUGGGGGGCACUUCCUCAGUUCGGUGGAUCGGAACAGGGCUGCAUGCCGUCGUCAGCUCGUGUCGUGAGAUGUUGGUUAAGUCCCGCAACGAGCGCAAACCUCGCCCUUAGUUGCCAGCAUUCAGUUGGGCACUUUAAGGGGACUGCCGGUGAUAAGCCGAGAGGAAGUGGGGAUGACGUCAAGUCCUCAUGGCCCUUACGGGCUGGGCUACACACGUGCUACAAUGGUGGUGACAGUGGGCAGCGAGCACGCGAGUGUGAGCUAAUCUCCAAAAGCCAUCUCAGUCCGGAUUGCACUCUGCGAGAGAAGAGCAUGAAGUGGAAUCGCUAGUAAUCGCGGAUCAGCAUGCCGCGGUGAAUACGUUCCCGGGCCUUGUACACACCGCCCGUCCUCCAUGGGAGUUGGUAUACCCGAAGGCGCUGUCCUAACCGCGAGGACCACGGCGACCACGGUAGGGUCAGCGACUGGGGUGAAGUCGUAACAAGAGCAGACGAUCCUU